UUGACUGGGGCGGUCUCCUCCUAAAGAGUAACGGAGGAGCACGAAGGUUGGCUAAUCCUGGUCGGACAUCAGGAGGUUAGUGCAAUGGCAUAAGCCAGCUUGACUGCGAGCGUGACGGCGCGAGCAGGUGCGAAAGCAGGUCAUAGUGAUCCGGUGGUUCUGAAUGGAAGGGCCAUCGCUCAACGGAUAAAAGGUACUCCGGGGAUAACAGGCUGAUACCGCCCAAGAGUUCAUAUCGACGGCGGUGUUUGGCACCUCGAUGUCGGCUCAUCACAUCCUGGGGCUGAAGUAGGUCCCAAGGGUAUGGCUGUUCGCCAUUUAAAGUGGUACGCGAGCUGGGUUUAGAACGUCGUGAGACAGUUCGGUCCCUAUCUGCCGUGGGCGCUGGAGAACUGAGGGGGGCUGCUCCUAGUACGAGAGGACCGGAGUGGACGCAUCACUGGUGUUCGGGUUGUCAUGCCAAUGGCACUGCCCGGUAGCUAAAUGCGGAAGAGAUAAGUGCUGAAAGCAUCUAAGCACGAAACUUGCCCCGAGAUGAGUUCUCCCUGACCCUUUAAGGGUCCUGAAGGAACGUUGAAGACGACGACGUUGAUAGGCCGGGUGUGUAAGCGCAGCGAUGCGUUGAGCUAACCGGUACUAAUGAACCGUGAGGCUUAACCUUACAACGCCGAAGGUGUUU
rnacentral:rRNA from 1 species